UCCGUAGGUGAACCUGCGGAGGGAUCAUUACCGAGUUUACAACUCCCAAACCCCUGUGAACAUACCUUAAUGUUGCCUCGGCGGAUCAGCCCGCGCCCCGUAAAACGGGACGGCCCGCCAGAGGACCCAAACUCUAAUGUUUCUUAUUGUAACUUCUGAGUAAAACAAACAAAUAAAUCAAAACUUUCAACAACGGAUCUCUUGGUUCUGGCAUCGAUGAAGAACGCAGCAAAAUGCGAUAAGUAAUGUGAAUUGCAGAAUUCAGUGAAUCAUCGAAUCUUUGAACGCACAUUGCGCCCGCUGGUAUUCCGGCGGGCAUGCCUGUUCGAGCGUCAUUUCAACCCUCGCACGCCCCUUCGGGGGCGGCGGUGUUGGGGACCGGCCGCCCUCCACGGCGGCCGCCCCCGAAAUGCAGUGGCGGUCCCGCCGGCGCCUCCCCCGCGUAGUAGCACACACCUCGCGGAACGGGAGCGCUGGCGCGGUACCAACGCCGUAAAAACCCCCAACUGAAGGCCUCCGGGCCGAAGAGUUUGACCUCGGAUCAGGUAGGAAUACCCGCUGAACUUAAGCAUAUCAAUAAGGCGGGAGGGGAAGGUCGGACUGGCCAAGGGCACACAGGGGGGGAUA
rnacentral:rRNA from 1 species